CAGACUGUCGGUCGCGCCUCGGUACGCACUGGCAUUAUUGGUUCCUACCUUCUGAAGAACCGCGAUGUCAUUAAUUUGGUGUCGUGGGGAAUCAGGACUGUUACUUUGAAAAAAUUAGAGUGUUUAAAGCAAGCUAACGCUUGAAUACAUUAGCAUGGAAUAAUGAAAUAGGACGUUCGAUCCUAUUUUGUUGGUUUCUAGGAUUGACGUA
rnacentral:rRNA from 1 species